rnacentral:lncRNA from 1 species
GAUAUCCAAAUACGAAAUGCUGAUCUUAUGAUAAGCUGAGCCAGGGCAGGCUCUUGCAGAUGAAGAAUGCUGAGUGUGGCUGACCCUACUGGGACCUCCCGAUGUCACGGAGAAGUCUGAUUUGCAGAGUUUCUAGAGCUGCGCUCCUUAACGCUGGGCCCCGUCCUCUGUCCUCACAGCCAACCAGCCAGAUCAGUCUUCAGAUCUCUCUCUGCGUGCACGGUCACGUCAGCUUCUUCCUCUUCUGUCAUCGAAUCUCUGUCUGCCUCCCUCUCAUAAGGACACUUUGGGCCCAGCCAGAUAAUCCAGGAUGAUCGCUCCAUCCCAAGAUCCCUGAUGUACACACAUCUACAAAACCCCUUUGGCAAUGUAAGGCAGCAAUGUAAGGCAGCAUUCCAGGAUUAGGACCUAGGUGUUUGCGGGGAUUAUAUUGAGCCUCCCACAGCCUCCCACACUCUCCCUGCAGCCAGACUGACCCGCUCUUUUUUUUUUUUUUUAGAUGGAGUCUCGCUCUGUGGCCCAGGCUGGAGGGCAGUGGGGUGAUCUUGGUUCACUGCAACCUCCGCCUCCCAGGUUCAAGCGAUUCUCCUGCCUCAGCCUCCCGAGUAGCUGGGAUUAUAGUGGCGCACCACUGUGCCCUGAUAAUUUUUUUGUGUUUUUAGUAGAGACAGGGUUUCACUAUGUUGGCUAGGAUGGUCUCGAUCUCCUGACCUCGUGAUCCACCUGUCUUGGCCUCCCAAAGUGCUGGGAUUACAGGCAAGAGCCACCACGCCUGGCCUUUUUUUUUUUUUUUAAAUGGAGAAAAGAUCUCACUCUGUCACCCAGGCUGGAGUGCAGUGGUGCGAUCACAGCUCACUGCAGCCUCCAAUUCCUGCGCUCAAGCGAUCCUCCCACCUCAGCCUCCCAAGUAACUGGGACUGCAGGUGAACACCACCAUGCCCAGCUUAUUUUUUUAGGUUUUUGUAGAGAUGGGGGCCUUGCUAUGUUGCCCAGGCUGGUCUGGACUCCUGGCCUCAACCGAUCCUCCCACCUUGGCCUUCCAAAGAGCUGGGAUUAAAGACAUGAGCCAC